CGCAAGUUUGAGUCCAGCCUGAGCAACUUAGCAAGAACUCUGCCUCAAAGUAAGACUAAAGGACUGGAAAUGAGCUCAGCACUCUAAUCUUCAGUACUACAAAAACAGAAGAAAAUAUAAUCUCCCUCAUCCACAGGCAACAUAGUAUUCAACUGGAAAUACAGAGGGAUGCCAGUGCAGAUGUCUGGAGAACCUUCUAAGUUCACCCCA
rnacentral:lncRNA from 1 species